rnacentral:rRNA from 2 species
UGAUCUCAAAUCAGGUAGGACUACCCGCUGAACUUAAGCAUAUCAAUA